GAGAUUGAAGAUAAUAUUAAGUACCGUUCUGGAAGUGAAGAGAGGAGGGAGGAUAUUUAUAGUUGGUUAGAUGGUUUUCAGCAAUCUAGGGAAAGUUAUUAUUGGGGCUAAUGCUUUUAUAUGCUAUGCUAUAUGUCGGUGUAUGAGAUUUGGUUUAACAAUAUUGUGCACUACCAUAAGUAGCUUUUUGAAUGAUCCACCAUGUAUAAUGUUUUGGCAAAUAGUUUAAAUUGUGGCUCGAGAUUGUCAAAUCAAGCUGAUCACUGGUAUAAAAAAUUUGUAUAGUGGAACUUAUCCUUGAAAAUAAAUGUAAGUAACCCUGCUCCUGCGCCUGUGGCUUGAUUUACGUGGUAAUUUCCUGAGCAUUAUGUUAGAUUAUAUCCAUUAAUUGGAAGGGACUUUUUAGUUUAUGAUUGAUGCUUUAUGCAGAUUGCAAUGGCAAAUAAAAUUA
rnacentral:misc_RNA from 1 species